UAACACGUAGGGAGCAAGCGUUGUCCGGAUUUAUUGGGCGUAAAGAGCUCGUAGGCGGUUCGGUAAGUCGGGUGUGAAAACUUGAGGCUCAACCUCAAGAGGCCACUCGAUACUGCUGUGACUGGAGUCCGGUAGAGGAGUGUGGAAUUCCUGGUGUAGCGGUGAAAUGCGCAGAUAUCAGGAGGAACACCGACAGCGAAGGCAGCACUCUGGGCCGGUACUGACGCUGAGGAGCGAAAGCAUGGGGAGCAAACAGGAUUAGAUACCCUGGUAGUCCAUGCCGUAAACGUUGGGCACUAGGUGUGGGGUCUAGCUAACAGAUUCCGUGCCGCAGCUAACGCAUUAAGUGCCCCGCCUGGGGAGUACGGCCGCAAGGCUA
rnacentral:rRNA from 1 species